UGGCAAGUUGGAGUUUGUUCCAUCCUGCACCUCCUACCUGCGGGGUCUUUGCACACAUACUGGCAGACAUACGGGCAGCACUUCUGUUUCCCCUUACAGUCCCGGUCAUAGGUACAUUUUAGUUUGUCCCCCAC